rnacentral:rRNA from 1 species
UGCAGUCGAACGGCAGCGCGGGGCAACCUGGCGGCGAGUGGCGAACGGGUGAGUAAUACAUCGGAACGUGCCCUGUGAUGGGGGAUAACUACGCGAAAGCGUAGCUAAUACCGCAUACGACCUACGGGUGAAAGUGGGGGAUCGCAAGACCUCACGUCAUAGGAGCGGCCGAUGGCGGAUUAGCUAGUUGGUGAGGUAAAGGCUUACCAAGGCGACGAUCCGUAGCUGGUCUGAGAGGACGACCAGCCACACUGGGACUGAGACACGGCCCAGACUCCUACGGGAGGCAGCAGUGGGGAAUCUUGGACAAUGGGGGCAACCCUGAUCCAGCAAUGCCGCGUGUGGGAUGAAGGCCUUCGGGUUGUAAACCACUUUUGGCGGGGGCGAAAUAUCGAGUGCUAAUACCAUUCGGUGAUGACGGUACCCGCAGAAUAAGCACCGGCUAACUACGUGCCAGCAGCCGGGGGUAAUACA